rnacentral:rRNA from 1 species
GAUGAACGCUGGCGGCGUGCCUAAUACAUGCAAGUCGAGCGAACAGACGAGGAGCUUGCUCCUCUGACGUUAGCGGCGGACGGGUGAGUAACACGUGGAUAACCUACCUAUAAGACUGGGAUAACUUCGGGAAACCGGAGCUAAUACCGGAUAAUAUAUUGAACCGCAUGGUUCAAUAGUGAAAGACGGUUUUGCUGUCACUUAUAGAUGGCUCCGCGCCGCAUUAGCUAGUUGGUAAGGUAACGGCUUACCAAGGCAACGAUGCGUAGCCGACCUGAGAGGGUGAUCCGCCAGACUGGAACUGAGACACGGUCCAGACUCCUACGGGAGGCAGCAGUAGGGAAUCUUCCGCAAUGGGCGAAAGCCUGACGGAGCAACGCCGCGUGAGUGAUGAAGGUCUUCGGAUCGUAAAACUCUGUUAUUAGGGAAGAACAAAUGUGUAAGUAACUAUGCACGUCUUGACGGUACCUAAUCAGAAAGCCACGGCUAACUACGUG